UACGUAGGUGGCAAGCGUUGUCCGGAUUUAUUGGGUUUAAAGGGUGCGUAGGCGGCUACUUAAGUCAGUGGUGAAAGACGGCAGCUUAACUGUCGAGGUGCCAUUGAUACUGAAUAGCUAGAGUACUGAUGAGGUAGGCGGAAUGGACGGUGUAGCGGUGAAAUGCAUAGAUAUCGUCCAGAACACCGAUAGCGAAGGCAGCUUACUAAGGAGUAACUGACGCUGAGGCACGAAAGUGUGGGGAUCAAACAGG
rnacentral:rRNA from 1 species